ACGGGCUGUGAAAUUUACUCUUCCCACACAGGAAGGACGUGGCGGGAGUGAGAAAGGAUGCACUUCAAAGAGCUGCUGUUCACGGAUGACCGUGAACACACGAGCGUGGGAGCCCAACCACAGGCCUAAACGGGGGGCAGCCGCAGAGCCUCAGCCACCGGGGAGGGUGUCCUCAGCGUGCAGCACCUCCAGGAGUGUGCGCCCUGCCACGGCCCCUGAGCUGCUCCAGCUCUACGACGGCAGCAGUUCUGAGGGCUAUGGGUGCCUCACAAGCCCCAGAGCGGAGCCCCUGUUCUGGGCCGGGGCAAGCGCCCCGGGCGGGUCUGGGGAGGCCUGGAACGGCAGUGGGGACCCCAGGCAGCAGGCAUGGUGGCUUCUGGCUGCCAUCUCAUUGUUGGUGGAAAAAGUCACUUGGUUGUAUUAAUUGUUGGUUUGCCCUCCAGGGAUAAAACUGGCCCUAGUAAUACUGUUUUACAAAUCUCCAUUAACUAUUAAAUACCAUAAAAAUGUAAGCUGGCUUCAUUCCUACAAGACGUGAAGGGAAACCGAAAACUGAAAAGCGACAGGUUCUUGUAAAAGAAGCCAGGAAGGGACUCCCAGACGCACCAGUGGGUUGACUUGAAAUCCCAGCACCUGGGGACCUGCCCGGCCUGGGCUCCUCAUAUCCUGGAGGAACAAAACUGGGUCUUCGCUUCGAGUGAGCACAGCAAUGAACUGCUACCAGAUUGGGAGGGUUUGACACAGCAGACCGGAGAUGGGCUAUUCAUUAUCACAGAAGAUUGCAGUUGGAAGGAGAAUUCUGUCUAUGAGGCUACAACUAGGAGCCCACGGGGGCACGGAGGGGGAAGCACCUCAGAGGAGGGGACAGUCUCUCCGCACGAGAGCAAGACCCAAACACACACUCUCCACAGACAGAAAACUCACCAACACUCCUCAAAACUGCUAAAGAAAAGAACCAAAACGAAAUAUUAGCAGCUUGUUAGCAAACGGCAAAUGCAAAACAAAAAUUGAAAAAACAAGUUCUCUUUCGUCAAAAUUCUGGAGAUCAUUUGUCGAGGCCCCGACUACAGGGACAAUUAAACUCAAGAGCCCAGCAUGCUCACUGGUGAGAGCAACGUCUGCGCGUGUGCUCGAGCCCCAGGGAGACGUCCCAUGCGGGCGAGUAACACCUGCACCGAAAGGAGAGCUCCCCUGGUGCAAACCAUUCCUGCAGGUGGUGUUACGACAUCAGUAGGACAUUAAAUAAAAAUGUAUAUAUUAGAAAAAUGCUGUAGAAGCGCUUAGGGAGUAAGAGGUACCGAAGUUAACAUGCCAGACAGGUAUCAACACCCCAACCUUCCUGGGACAGGGACAGCCCUCUUGAGCGGCUUUCUCCUCCAGGGCCUCCACGCCAGCCUCAGGUCACACGCUCGCACCUCCACGCGGCCACAUGCAAUGCUGCGACAGACACGCGGCUGGCUGUGCAGAGCACUGUGGCACAGGAAGCUCGCCUUUGUCCUAAUUCCCAGAGAAGCACCACGUCGGUGAAUCCUCGGAGGGAUCUGGUGGCCUGGCUUGUCUGCCCAGGGAGGAGCCCUUGGUGCGGACGAAUCAAGGUCGAGGAGGCUGCCAGGGGCCUCCCAGAGAUGCCACCCAGCCCUGCGCUCAGCUCUGACCCGACCCCCCAGCUGCUCUCCGCCAGCCUGCUGGCCCCUUGGCCCACGACCGCUGCACCUGACCUUUCUUCCCAACCCGUGCAGUCCGAGGUCACCUUGCUCAAGCCCUGUCCUGACUCCCGCCCUGGGGCCUGAGGCUCCGGCCAGCGCUAAGCCUCCUCCGACUGCCCCGCGGGUCCUCCUGAGGCUGGCGGGCCUUGGCCUCACCAUCCUCAAAGCACUCGGCUCCGGCCCCUCGAGCCCACGUUCCACGCAGACUGCCCCGUCGUGGCCCCAGCUUGUUCCUUCUCUGCAGCCCCACCUUCUUCUCCGGGCCUCGCCGCCCCGUCUCCUCCAGAACCUCGCUCCAUCGGUGUCCUCUGCCGUCUCCCCCCACUUGCCUUCAUCUCUCCUAUCAGCCUGAGCACGGGCUCGUCUCGGUCACCUUCUGCGCGCCUGAGGCCUUCACGCUGCUCUUCCACCUCACGGUCCCAGGAGCCCAGGCCUCGGCCACACGCAUAGCAUCCACUUCCUACACCCGCACCCCCUGGUCAAGGAAGCGUCAGACGGCAGCACAAGGACAACACACACCCUCCAGGAACUUACUGUUUCUUGGUCUCUUCAAAUUUGUGCAGCUUUUUGCGGAGACCUCCUGACUUAAAGCCUUGGCAGUGUGCUGCUGGCGCUCCGAUGGUGACAAUGUCGUAGUUCUGAUCUGAAUGACAGAAAGCUCUCCUCCAUUACUCUGGGCUCAGGCCUGUGGACGAGCCAGCUACAGCGAUACGUGCACAACUCUGGGAUCCCCCGCCAGCCCACUUCCAAGCAGCCUGUGGUUCCCUCAGUCGCACAGCCCGGGCUGCCCGAGGGCCUCUGGAGCCAAGCACCAUCAUCUCGGCUACGAGGGUCCUGUCUCAGGGGAGAGUCACACAGGGCAACUACCCAGCGACUCAGCUUGCAUCCCUCCUUCAGAAGGAUGACCUGUGGGCAAUUUUCUGCCACAGCAACACAAAGGGAAGCUGGAGGGAGGGCAAACGAGGGGAAGGGGUCUGAGCUCUCCACAGAGGCCUUCCGGAGGCCCUUGGGCUGUGCCUUUGCCGGGCGCCCAGCAGCAGCACACACAGGGCAGGCUGGGGCAGAUGUGGGGCAGCUCAGGGAGAAAAGAAGUGAGAUGUGAUCGAGCGAGACGGUUACCUGAUCCUCCAUCGUCCUGAACUCUCAUCCUCUGUAUGUGUAAGUUUGUGGGAACAAAUUCUAACUUUUUAUCUGCUUUCAAACUGCUUGCCUUGAACGAGGGACCUGAGGAAUGGAAUGUGAGAAAAUAAAGAUGGUCAGCCCG